UACGUAGGUGGCGAGCGUUGUCCGGAUUUACUGGGCGUAAAGAGAGCGUAGGCGGAUUUUUAAGUGAGAUGUGAAAUACUCGGGCUCAACUUGAGUGCUGCAUUUCAAACUGGAAGUCUAGAGUGCAGGAGAGGAGAAUGGAAUUCCUAGUGUAGCGGUGAAAUGCGUAGAGAUUAGGAAGAACACUAGUGGCGAAGGCGAUUCUCUGGACUGUAACUGACGCUGAGGCUCGAAAGCGUGGGGAGCAAACAGG
rnacentral:rRNA from 1 species